AAAGUCGUAACAAGGUUUCCGUAGGUGAACCUGCGGAAGGAUCAUUAACACGUUCCAAAACGUAUCAACCAAACGGUUAAGUGCAAACUUAUUCCCUGACAGAGGGAGCUGUUCAUAUCGAUCUAGUGAUGGGUGGGUCUUCGGACUCGCAGAACGAUAUGGGCUAGGGUCUCGAGCCCAAUGCUCCUUUUGUGAGGCUUUUCUUUUUUUUCCAUCACUUCCAAUAACCAAUAUCAACCCUUACAACCAUUUGACUAAAUCUUUCGAACGAAGAAAUUUGUUUGGAAUUGUAUAUCUAACACUGUACAACUCUUAGCAAUGGAUAUCUUGGUUCUC
rnacentral:misc_RNA from 1 species